UACGGAGGGGGCUAGCGUUAUUCGGAAUUAUUGGGCGUAAAGGGCGCGUAGGCGGCCCGGUAAGUCAAAGGUGAAAUCCCUCGGCUCAACUGAGGAACUGCCUUUGAAACUGUCGGGCUUGAGGCCGGGAGGGGGUAGCGGAAUUCCCAGUGUAGCGGUGAAAUGCGUAGAUAUUGGGAGGAACACCGGUGGCGAAGGCGGCUACCUGGACCGGUUCUGACGCUGAUGCGCGAAAGCGUGGGGAGCGAUCCGG
rnacentral:rRNA from 1 species